UUUUUUGAUUAAUAAAAUAUUGGAUGGAAAUUAAUUUAGCAAGUAUUAUAAUAAUCUUUUAUUGCUUCCAAGGAAUACAAGUUCCCAUAGCAAGGGAGAAUCACAAUUUACAUAAAAACAUGCAUAUACAUAGUUAACAGAUUGCAAGAAGGGUUGAGGAUGUCCUGGAUUGAAGGGGUUGGUUCGAAGUUAGCUGCUAAGAAUUGGCUACGAGGUUCCUUAAGGACUGGGCAUCUUAGCAAGAAGUGUUCUAUCGUGUCUUUAGCGUCACAGUUACAAAUAGGACAAUUCGAGUUACAGUCGAAGUCGUACUUGCAGUUGUUUAUUUUGAUAGAGCAAUGGAAGCUGCUGGCCAGUCUGAGUUGCGUGAAGAGUCUGAUCGCAUAGAAUUGUGUUCUGUGGUAGCACCACCCGUGGAGGUUCAAGUUGGAGAGGCCGAGCGCUAGCAGUGGAGAAACUUCUGUAAUUAUUGAGAGAAACUUUUUAAACCAGUUGGUUUUGGGCGAGCAGGAAUCAUUUUUGGCCAGGUGCGCCAGUCUAUACAGGCAGAUCUUUGGUUGGCGAGAGUUGUCAAACGUCAGCACUUUGAUUAUGUACUUCCACGUGGCUUUAAUCACAUAAUAAGCUAAAGGUGGUCUGUUGAAUUCUACUCUGAGCAAUGCACUGGCAGUAGUUCUAUGUAGGCCAAAUACUUGUUUGAUAAAGUCAGUCUGAAUUUUCUCUAUGAGGUCCAGGUAAGAAAGAGCCCAGAUAGGUGACGAGUAUAGGAGCGUUGCCGCAACAAUGCUAUCAAAUAGUUUAAAAAUACUGGGGAUUGAGUCAAUUUUUGAGGCGUAAAUAAUUGAGACGGUCAUAUUUAGUGCUGCCUGUGCUUUUUUAAUAGCAGACAUAGCUGCCGGUCUACUAAAGCCAUUGGGGGAAAAAGUUAGACCUAGGUAUUCGUAGCUGUCGACGAUGUCCAGUUCUUGGUCAGCGAGAUGGAAUUUUGUAUUGUCGGGAA